rnacentral:rRNA from 1 species
UACGUAGGUGGCAAGCGUUGUCCGGAAUUAUUGGGCGUAAAGCGCGCGCAGGCGGUCCUUUAAGUCUGAUGUGAAAGCCCACGGCUCAACCGUGGAGGGUCAUUGGAAACUGGGGGACUUGAGUGCAGGAGAGAAAAGUGGAAUUCCACGUGUAGCGGUGAAAUGCGUAGAGAUGUGGAGGAACACCAGUGGCGAAGGCGACUUUUUGGCCUGUAACUGACGCUGAGGCGCGAAAGCGCGGGGAGCAAACAGG